GGUGCGGGGCGCGGUGCACGCGGAGGGCUAGGGCUGCGGGGCCGGGCCGAGCCUUCGCCCUUGGCCCGCGCCCUGGCGAGCCUCAUGCAGCUCCUGUGCUCGCAACCGCAGCUGCCCCGGGAAGGUCCGGGACCCGAACCCCGCACCGCAGCGCCUGAGCGUUUACCGACCGGCGGCGGGAUGUUCCGUGUGGCCUGAGAGCGCCGCGCCCGGGUACAAGAGGAGCCGGCUGGAGCCCGGCGCCCCAGGGAUCGCGAGGAGCCCCACGCCACAGCCGCCGGCGCCGGCGCCCGUCUUCUCGGCUCCGCUCGUAGGCCCCGGCUCUGCCAACCCCGGAGUGCGGCGGGGCAGCCAGACAGCCGUUCUCUUCGGCGGCAGGGGCAUGGAGGAGCGGCGGGCUCCGAGCCGCGCCCCGGAGUCCCCGAAACUUCCGAGCAGGCGCCCGAUCGCGCCGCUGCCGCCGCAGCCACCUCACCUGCCGGCCUGAGAACGGGACCAUGGAUGAAAGGUUCAACAAGUGGCUGCUGACGCCGGUGCUCACUCUCCUCUUCGUGGUCAUCAUGUACCAGUACGUGUCCCCUUCCUGCACCAGCUCAUGCACCAACUUCGGGGAGCAGCUCCGCUCCGGGGAGGCCCGCCCGCCCGCUGUCCCGAGUCCUGCCCGACGGGCACAAGCAACCCCUGAUGAAUGGGAGCGGCGGCCCCAGCUGCCACCGCCACCCCGGGGACCGCCCGAGGGGUCUCGAGGGGUCGCGGCUCCCGAGGAUGAGGAUGAGGACCCGGGGGACCCGGAAGAGGAGGAGGAGGAAGAAGAGGAGGAGCCGGACCCCGAAGCGCCCGAAAACGGCUCCCUGCCCCGGUUCGUGCCUCGCUUCAACUUCACCCUGAAGGACCUGACCCGCUUCGUGGACUUCAACAUCAAAGGGCGGGAUGUGAUCGUAUUCCUGCACAUCCAGAAGACCGGGGGCACCACGUUCGGCCGGCACCUGGUGAAGAACAUACGUCUGGAGCAGCCGUGCAGCUGCAAAGCUGGCCAGAAAAAGUGCACCUGCCACCGGCCGGGCAAGAAGGAGACCUGGCUCUUCUCCCGCUUCUCCACCGGCUGGAGCUGCGGGCUGCAUGCCGACUGGACCGAGCUCACCAACUGCGUGCCGGCCAUCAUGGAGAAGAAGGAUUGUCCCCGCAACCAGAGCCACACCAGGAAUUUCUACUAUAUCACGAUGUUGCGGGACCCAGUGUCACGUUACCUGAGCGAAUGGAAGCAUGUCCAGAGAGGGGCCACAUGGAAAACCUCUCUCCAUAUGUGUGAUGGAAGGAGCCCCACCCCAGAUGAGCUGCCUACCUGCUAUCCCGGAGAUGACUGGUCUGGGGUCAGUUUGCGGGAGUUCAUGGAUUGUAGCUACAACCUGGCCAACAACCGCCAAGUGCGCAUGCUGGCCGACCUCAGCCUGGUGGGCUGCUACAACUUGACUUUCAUGAAUGAGAGUGAGCGGAACACCAUCCUGCUGCAGAGCGCUAAGAACAAUCUAAAGAACAUGGCCUUCUUUGGGCUCACUGAAUUCCAGAGGAAGACACAGUUUCUCUUUGAGAGGACAUUCAACCUGAAGUUCAUCUCUCCUUUCACACAGUUCAACAUCACACGGGCAUCCAACGUGGACAUCAAUGACGGAGCCCGUCAGCACAUCGAGGAGUUGAAUUUCCUGGACAUGCAGCUUUAUGAGUAUGCAAAGGAUCUCUUCCAGCAACGCUACCAUCACACCAAACAGCUAGAGCACCAGAGAGACCGCCAAAAGAGGCGUGAGGAGCGGAGGAUGCAGCGAGAGCACAGAGCACAUCGGUGGCCCAAAGAGGAAAGGGCCAUGGAGGGGACUGUCACUGAGGACUACAACAGCCAAGUGGUCAGAUGGUGACCCUCUGCCUGCUCCUUUUUAUGAAGGGGGAUUAGCAGGCACCUCCCCCUUCUCUUGGAUUACUUGGAAGAAGUUGGACCACAAUGAGAACCUCUGGCUUUAUGUGACUUAAUUUGGACACCUGCUUCCCCUUUGUCUUCAUUUUCAAUCCAGCUGGAGAGUUUCCGUCCUGUUCUCCUUCUUUUCUAGACAUUUUCUGAUCACUGAUAUUAAGUGGGGGUGGAAAUAUAUCCGAAAGACCACUGUAGAGGGGGUCAGGAAAGAGGCUUCAAAAAUGAGAAAGUCUGUAAUAUCUUUGCCACUCCCAAUGGGUCAGUUUGGGAAUGUGGAACCCACAGAAGCACACAGGAAAACCAAAACCAUGGUUUGGAUGCUCUGCUGAUUGCAGCAUGUUCUGCCCAAUAGAACUUUAGUCUGUUUAAAGAAAGAGAGAAAGAUCUUUUUGUCCUUGGAUGAGCCUCUCACCCAGUUUUGAAUUUGGGAACCAUUCACAUGAGGUAUAAAUCAUGAAUAACAUGGUUCAUCUCUACAGCUGUUUUUAAACAAAAUUCCUGUAACAUUGAACAUAGCUAGAGACUGCUAGGCUGCAACCUCCGAGAUCAAAGCCCUAAGCCACACGUCCACUCUACCUUUUAGGGAACAAGGAGUGCACACUAGGCAGAGCUGGUUGUGGGUCUGAGAAACAAACACUGGCGGGACAUCUCGGGGAGUACACUCAUUUAGUGAUGACCAACGAGAUUGUACUUUAUUACUGUUCAUCUUCCAGAUAACGAAUAAAUAAAAAAUUCAAAGAGUGACAGCAAGGAAACCAGGGGGAAACACCUCCAUUUUAAAACUAGCUUUAGGACCUUAGCUGAAGAAAGAAUGGCAGACUUUUAUCUUUGUGGAGCAGAUACCUUCUCAGCCAGGUUCAGAAUUCUGCUAUCACAAAAGAUGUGUCAAAGAACUUGGCUUAAAGGGCAGGAGCUAAAACACUGAGAGCAUGUAACACAUUCCAGGUCAGUAAGUGGGCGGGGCCAGGAGCUUCAGCACAGCAUCCAUGAGACCAUUAUAUCCGGGUUCAGAAGGAUGCUGCGCAUGCGUGACAUUGGCAGUGUCACUAAACCGCUAUCUUCCUACAUGAUUAUUGCCUGUCCUAUGGCUACAACCAGAGAACCAAGCUACUGUGUACAAAACUGAACCAAAAAUGCACUUCAUUGCCCUAGGAUCCUGGAGCUUGCUUGUUCAAUCCAUAGCAGCAACCACUGCUCUGGAAAGGAAUAGGGAGGGGGGAAUAGAAAGUCUUCAGCUCACAUCCCAGAAGAUGAGAGAGGGUAGAAGUUUUACAACACAUUGAUAAGAUCAGUCCUUUUAAGCGGCCGAAGGCCAAAGGCUCGAGACCCCCCUAAAUCAGAUCCGAAAAGCCUAUUUCAUUGAUGUCCUACAUGUUUGAAGUUUAAGCCAGCUUCACAUAAGCCACUUCUCAGCCUUAAGAAUGCUUUCUCUGGGACUGAAAAGCCAUCAUGCCCCGGUAUUUAUGGAGUGCCUGACGAAGCAGAGCCAGCAUCUUUUGUAGAUUCAGCGGAGAAGUGGCUUUCGUAUCUCUCUCACUGUGAUUGGCAUCUACCGUGCGGCAGGAAAUGAUAUCACUGAAUGACCUUCGGGGUCAUGUUCUACGAGAAGCCCCAUGCUGCACGAUGAAUCUCUCCAGACUAACCAGGUAGACAUUGCUAGUCUUCAUUUCAUAGCUGAGAAAAUGAAGACCACAAAUGAAAUGAGGUUUCCAUGGAGAUCACAAGACAGACCUGACUGUUGACACAACGCAUGAUCCAUAUCUACAUUGUGCUUCACAUGUAGUGUAGCUCUCCCUGCCAUUUAUAUCAGAAGGCAGAUGUUAUCAGUCUGAAGUACUUCUUGUUCCUGAUCCACAAAGGUGACAUAAUGCAAUGAGAUUACACUUGCAAUGAUCCAGAGCCCUUCUCCUCAGGAGCUGCAAUGACCUAGAAAAUUCCAUGGACCAGUCCAGUGUACUCUUAGCUCUGCCCCCAGCAAUGGGGCCUCUCACAAGAAUGAAUGAAUGUUCAGCUAGAGUGUAGUAGAGAGGAAUCUGAGAACGGCACAUGAAUUCAGGGGAGACACUCAAACACCUCUAGCUGGAUACCAACCCCAUUCCACCCCUAAACAAUCCAAUAUGAAGACUGAGGGGAUAAACAUAUAACUCCAAUGGGGCACUCAGACUUCCAGAAACUCAGAGUCAGUAGCUGACCCCUAGGAAAGCUGAAGGGGUGAUCAAUAGGAACUCUGCUCAUGAAAUGCCACCAUCUCUCUACUUCCCUGAGUCGCUAGUGUUUCAUCAACAACACAUUGUGACAGUUCUUAUAUAUUUUAUUUGGCACUCACUGGGUUCCUCUGCCCAUCGCUGGAGACAGGAAGUGCUUUAAGCUGCAAUAAAUAAACAACUCCACUCAGAUUAUCAGAUUCCUUCCCAGACUGACAGACCAGAGACUGGGGACUACAGGCCAUAUGGCAACUAUAGAAGAAAGUAGGGCUGCAAGAGGCAGACCACCCAAUGAGAGAAAGAUGAUGGUUAAAAUUCAUGCCGGGUAAUGGUGUAAUAUAGAAACAUGGAGAGGAUGCAGCUUUCAUCCUCAGGAUGAAGGGCAGCCCUGAAACACAUGACUACAUCCUUCUAGCCACUUAGGAAAGCACAAGGAGGGGUCCGAGCCAUGAGGCAGGGUUAGAGGCUCAAGUAGGCUUGAGGGUCUGAAGACUGAUUGGGGAAGGGGUUGGAUGACAUGGAGAGCUGUGUUGGACACUGGCAAGAAUGCACUGAUGUGAACAUAGCCGUCAUUCUAGGCUUUCCUUUUCCAUCAUUGUCGUGCCUCUAUCGGUCCCCAGAACGUCACCUGAAUACCUCCAGGCUGAGUAGCUGGGCUGGCUGUGGCUGGAGCUCUGCCUACUUCAUGACUUCUGGGGAGCAUCCAGUGGGUUCCUUCUUCAACACUUUUGGGUUCCCUUUUUAUACUGUUCUGUCUCUAGUGGACACUAGCCAACAUCAGCUCUGUGCUCGCCAUAUUCACCAGGAUACAUCUGGACAAAUUCUCUGAAACUGAACGAGCCCUCCUGAGCAAACAGGGGCAUUCUGAAUUGUGCAGCCUCUCAGAACAUCCGUGGACCCAUCUUCCCAAUCUCCUGACAGAACUGACCUCCCCUGCAGAGGAUGCCUGUUGUGAACAGCAGCCAGGCUUGUGAGCCUCUGCACUUCUAGAUGAAGACUGGGGUAGCCUGAUGGGAUGCUGAAUCUGCAGACACAGACAUCAGGUGUUUCUGGAGUCAGCCUUCUUCAGUCUCCACUGGAAAGACUGCAGAUGUCCAUCUUCAGCAUGCUGACAGGGGCUCUCUAAGAUCAAUGCUCUGCCUCACUGUGGGAACUCAUGACAGGCCCGAGAUCAGGGCUACAAAUCCUCUGCUCUUGCUGGGAAAACAAUGUCCUGACAAGCAGCUUUGUGUGACUUAGUCAUGACUACACAUCCUCCAUCUCCUUGUCAUGCCUUGUUUGAAUCAUGUGACCAUGAUUUUUCUCCCAGAAAUACUUUCUGGACUUUGCUUGCAUUCUCUUCUUCUUCUUCUUCUUCUUCUUCUUCUUCUUCU